rnacentral:rRNA from 1 species
GACGAACCGUGCGAACGUUGUUCGGAAUCACUGGGCUUAAAGGGCGCGUAGGCGGGCCCGCAAGUCAGGGGUGAAAUCCCACGGCUCAACCGUGGAAGUGCCUUUGAUACUGCGGGUCUGGAGGGAGGUAGGGGCGUGCGGAACUUCCGGUGGAGCGGUGAAAUGCGUAGAUAUCGGAAGGAACACCGGUGGCGAAGGCGGCAUCCUGGACCAACACUGACACUGAGGAGCGAAAGCCAGGGGAGCAAACGGG